GUCUUUCUGAGUGAGGUCGCUGUGAGUGAGAGAGCUGCUGCGCAAUAAAACUGCUAGGAGUGUCAGAAAAAUCCCUCGAAUGCUGCUGAUAGAGAUAUUGGAAACAUAGGCGAUCUGAGAAAGCAUAUUAAAUAACUUCAUAUGCAUUUUCCCCAAUAUAUUUCACCUAUAUCAUCAUGCAUCUUUAAAACCUAAAAACUCUUCCAUGCUGAUGGCCGUGCAGCAGAGUUGGAGGGGACCUCUUGUCGAAGAACAUCUCCAAGACACUAUGAGCAUCUGACUAGGCUGUUUGUGAAGACAGAAAAUCAAGAGAUGUUGUGACAACCUGGACAGAAUUCAGCUCCAGAUCCACCCUCCACACCAGACUUCUCACGCACAAGGACUGCUGUCUACUAGCAUAUUAUGUGUUCUCUUCAGAGUUAGGUGCAUGCAGAUAUUACCUGAUUUUUAGAUGUAAUGAAAACUAUAUUAUAUAUAUAUACAGCAUAUGAAGAGUUCAGAUGCAAAAGCCUCUAAAUGCCAUCUGAAAUUUUCUUCUAAAAUGAGCAUUUUUCUCAAGCUCCUAUAUUUAUGUUCAGCUAUUUCAUUUUAAUUGCAUAGAAAAGGACCUAUAUAUUGCCAUUAGAGUAAAAUAACUGAACCUAAACAUAGCAGCCUGAUAAAAAUGCUAAUU